rnacentral:rRNA from 1 species
CCUAACACAUGCAAGUCGAGCGGUAGCACAGAGAGCUUGCUCUCGGGUGACGAGCGGCGGACGGGUGAGUAAUGUCUGGGAAACUGCCUGAUGGAGGGGGAUAACUACUGGAAACGGUAGCUAAUACCGCAUAACGUCGCAAGACCAAAGUGGGGGACCUUCGGGCCUCAUGCCAUCAGAUGUGCCCAGAUGGGAUUAGCUAGUAGGUGGGGUAACGGCUCACCUAGGCGACGAUCCCUAGCUGGUCUGAGAGGAUGACCAGCCACACUGGAACUGAGACACGGUCCAGACUCCUACGGGAGGCAGCAGUGGGGAAUAUUGCACAAUGGGCGCAAGCCUGAUGCAGCCAUGCCGCGUGUGUGAAGAAGGCCUUCGGGUUGUAAAGCACUUUCAGCGGGGAGGAAGGCGUUAAGGUUAAUAACCUUGGCGAUUGACGUUACCCGCAGAAGAAGCACCGGCUAACUCCGUGCCAGCAGCCGCGGUAAUACGGAGGGUGCAAGCGUUAAUCGGAAUUACUGGGCGUAAAGCGCACGCAGGCGGUCUGUCAAGUCGGAUGUGAAAUCCCCGGGCUCAACCUGGGAACUGCAUUCGAAACUGGCAGGCUAGAGUCUUGUAGAGGGGGGUAGAAUUCCAGGUGUAGCGGUGAAAUGCGUAGAGAUCUGGAGGAAUACCGGUGGCGAAGGCGGCCCCCUGGACAAAGACUGACGCUCAGGUGCGAAAGCGUGGGGAGCAAACAGGAUUAGAUACCCUGGUAGUCCACGCCGUAAACGAUGUCGAUUUGGAGGUUGUGCCCUUGAGGCGUGGCUUCCGGAGCUAACGCGUUAAAUCGACCGCCUGGGGAGUACGGCCGCAAGGUUAAAACUCAAAUGAAUUGACGGGGGCCCGCACAAGCGGUGGAGCAUGUGGUUUAAUUCGAUGCAACGCGAAGAACCUUACCUGGUCUUGACAUCCACAGAACUUUCCAGAGAUGGAUUGGUGCCUUCGGGAACUGUGAGACAGGUGCUGCAUGGCUGUCGUCAGCUCGUGUUGUGAAAUGUUGGGUUAAGUCCCGCAACGAGCGCAACCCUUAUCCUUUGUUGCCAGCGGUUCGGCCGGGAACUCAAAGGAGACUGCCAGUGAUAAACUGGAGGAAGGUGGGGAUGACGUCAAGUCAUCAUGGCCCUUACGACCAGGGCUACACACGUGCUACAAUGGCAUAUACAAAGAGAAGCGACCUCGCGAGAGCAAGCGGACCUCAUAAAGUAUGUCGUAGUCCGGAUUGGAGUCUGCAACUCGACUCCAUGAAGUCGGAAUCGCUAGUAAUCGUAGAUCAGAAUGCUACGGUGAAUACGUUCCCGGGCCUUGUACACACCGCCCGUCACACCAUGGGAGUGGGUUGCAAAAGAAGUAGGUAGCUUAACCUUCGGGAGGGCGCUUACCACUUUGUGAUUCAUGACUGGGGUGAA